rnacentral:rRNA from 2 species
UACGUAGGGUGCGAGCGUUAAUCGGAAUUACUGGGCGUAAAGCGUGCGCAGGCGGUUUUGUAAGACAGAUGUGAAAUCCCCGGGCUUAACCUGGGAACUGCGUUUGUGACUGCAAGACUCGAGUACGGCAGAGGGGGGUGGAAUUCCACGUGUAGCAGUGAAAUGCGUAGAGAUGUGGAGGAACACCGAUGGCGAAGGCAGCCCCCUGGGUCGAUACUGACGCUCAUGCACGAAAGCGUGGGGAGCAAACAGG